GCCCGUGUAGCUUAACGGAUAAAGCAGCGGUCUUCGGAACCGCUGAUGAGGGUUCAAUUCCCCCCACGGGCA
rnacentral:tRNA from 1 species